rnacentral:lncRNA from 1 species
GGGGCAUUUGGCAUCCACCAGUAUCCAUCAGGCAGUGAGCCUCUUGUGCAGGGGUGAUGUUCUAUAAAAUCUCAGCAAAGGAAAAUAAAGAAACUUAGAAAUGAAAGCUGAUUGGAAUCAAAGAGAUGAGAGCCCUUAUCAGGGGUCUUGUUCAAUCAGGAAGUCUAUUGGCCAACAGUGAGCUCAGUGCAGGAAUAUAGAGGAAUCUAUGUCGCAUAAGACCUGGCAAAGGGGAGAUUGUUGGCAGCAUUUCUUCCAGAACAAUGUAAGAGAUAAGGAAAAGCUGAAAAAUAGUAUGAAAAUUCGAGGCAUCACAAAUUCCUCCCCCCACCCAACUUCAAUUGCCAGGUAAACUGAACAGUUUUUCAAAUUCUUUGAAUAUUUGAAUUUAUUGUUUUUUGAAAUGCUUUCUUAAACAUUUUGCCUAAUUCUUUUU